rnacentral:rRNA from 1 species
GACGAACGCUGGCGGCGUGCUUAACACAUGCAAGUCGAACGAUGAAGCUGGAGCUUGCUCCGGUGGAUUAGUGGCGAACGGGUGAGUAACACGUGAGAAAUCUGCCCUUGACUCUGGGAUAACUGCGGGAAACUGUAGCUAAUACCCGGAUACUUUCCCUGGCGGGCAUCCGCUGGGGAAGAAGAAUUUCGGUCAAGGAUGAUCUCGCGGCCUAUCAGCUAGUUGGUGAGGUAAUGGCUCACCAAGGCGACGACGGGUAGCCGGCCUGAGAGGGUGACCGGCCACACUGGAACUGAGACACGGUCCAGACUCCUAC